UAACCCCGGGAAACUGGGGAUAAUACCGGAUGGAUCACUAGUGCUGGAAUGCUUGGUGGUUUAAAGGCAACGCCUUUGGAUGGGHCUGCGGCGGAUUAGGHUGACGCCGGUGUAACGUACCGGCGUGCCUGUAAUCCGUACGGGUUGUGGGAGCAAGAGCCCGGAGAUGGAUUCUGAGACACGAAUCCAGGCCCUACGGGGCGCAGCAGGCGCGAAAACUCUACAAUGCAGGCAACUGCGAUAGGGGGACAUCGAGUGGCAUCCACCUUGGGUGCCUGUCCAACCGUCUAAAAAACGGUUGUUAGCAAGGGCCGGGUAAGACCGGUGCCAGCCGCCGCGGUAAUACCGGCGGCUCGAGUGGUGGCCGAUAUUAUUGAGUCUAAAGGGUCCGUAGCCGGCUUUGCAAGUCCCCUGGGAAAUCCAGCGGCUUAACCGUUGGGCUUUCAUGGGAUACUACAUUGCUUGGGACUGGGAGAGGUAGGAGGUACUCGGGGGGUAGGGGUGAAAUCCUGUAAUCCUCCGGGGACCACCGGUGGCGAAGGCGUCCUACCAGAACAGGUCCGACGGUGAGGGACGAAAGCUAGGGGCACGAACCGGAUUAGAUACCCGGGUAGUCCUAGCCGUAAACGAUGCCCGCUAGGUGUCACGACGGUCGUGAAUCGUCGUGGUGCCGUAGGGAAGCCGCGAAGCGGGCC
rnacentral:rRNA from 1 species